GACGAACGCUGGCGGCGUGCCUAAUACAUGCAAGUUGAGCGAUGAAGAUUGGUGCUUGCACCAAUUUGAAGAGCAGCGAACGGGUGAGUAACGCGUGGGGAAUCUGCCUUUGAGCGGGGGACAACAUUUGGAAACGAAUGCUAAUACCGCAUAACAACUUUAAACAUAAGUUUUAAGUUUGAAAGAUGCAAUUGCAUCACUCAAAGAUGAUCCCGCGUUGUAUUAGCUAGUUGGUGAGGUAAAGGCUCACCAAGGCGAUGAUACAUAGCCGACCUGAGAGGAUGAUCGGCCAGACUGGGACUGUGACACGGCCCAUACUCCUACGGGAGGCAGCAGUAGGGAAUCGUCGGCAAUGGAUGAAAGUCUGACCGAGCAACGCCGCGUGAGUGAAGAAGGUCUUCGGAUCGUAAAACUCUGUUGGUAGAGAAGAACGUUGGUGAGAGUGGAAAGCACAUCAAGUGACGGUAACUACCCAGAAAGGGACGGCUAACUACGUG
rnacentral:rRNA from 1 species